UACGGGGGGAGCAAGCGUUGUUCGGAUUUACUGGGCGUAAAGGGCGCGUAGGCGGUCGUGACAAGUCACUUGUGAAAUCUCCGGGCUUAACUCGGAACGGUCAAGUGAUACUGUCGGACUAGAGUACAGAAGGGGCAACUGGAAUUCUCGGUGUAGCGGUGAAAUGCGCAGAUAUCAGGAGGAACACCGGUGGCGAAGGCGGCUUGCUGGGCCAGUUCUGACGCUGAGGAGCGAAAGCGUGGGGAGCGAACAGG
rnacentral:rRNA from 1 species